rnacentral:rRNA from 1 species
CCUACGGGCGGCUGCAGUGGGGAAUUUUACGCAAUGGGGGAAACCCUGACGUAGCGACACCGCGUGAGCGAAGAAGCCCUUUGGGGUGUAAAGCUCUGUCGGCUGGAACGAAACAAAUGACGGUACCAGCAAAGGAAGCAUCGGCUAACUACGUGCCAGCAGCCGCGGUAAGACGUAUGAUGCGAGCGUUGUCCGGAUUUAUUGGGCGUAAAGAGUUCGUAGGUGGUUUGUUAAGUCUGAUGUUAAAGAUCGGAGCUCAACUUCGGGACAGCAUUGGAUACUGGCAGACUUGAGUAUGGUAGAGGCUAGUGGAAUUCCCAGUGUAGCGGUGAAAUGCGUAGAUAUUGGGAAGAACACCGGGGGCGUAGGCGACUAGCUGGGCCAUAACUGACGCUGAGGAACGAAAGCCAGGGGAGAGAAAGGGAUUAGAUACCCUAGUAGUC